rnacentral:rRNA from 1 species
CCUGGCUCAGGAUGAACGCUAGCGACAGGCUUAACACAUGCAAGUCGAGGGGCAGCACAGGUAGCAAUACCGGGUGGCGACCGGCGCACGGGUGAGUAACGCGUAUGCAACUUGCCUAUCAGAGGGGGAUAACCCGGCGAAAGUCGGACUAAUACCGCAUGAAGCAGGGAUCCCGCAUGGGAAUAUUUGCUAAAGAUUCAUCGCUGAUAGAUAGGCAUGCGUUCCAUUAGGCAGUUGGCGGGGUAACGGCCCACCAAACCGACGAUGGAUAGGGGUUCUGAGAGGAAGGUCCCCCACAUUGGUACUGAGACACGGACCAAACUCCUACGGGAGGCAGCAGUGAGGAAUAUUGGUCAAUGGCCGAGAGGCUGAACCAGCCAAGUCGCGUGAGGGAUGAAGGUUCUAUGGAUCGUAAACCUCUUUUAUAAGGGAAUAAAGUGCGGGACGUGUCCCGUUUUGUAUGUACCUUAUGAAUAAGGAUCGGCUAACUCCGUGCCAGCAGCCGCGGUAAUACGGAGGAUCCGAGCGUUAUCCGGAUUUAUUGGGUUUAAAGGGUGCGUAGGCGGCCUUUUAAGUCAGCGGUGAAAGUCUGUGGCUCAACCAUAGAAUUGCCGUUGAAACUGGGGGGCUUGAGUAUGUUUGAGGCAGGCGGAAUGCGUGGUGUAGCGGUGAAAUGCAUAGAUAUCACGCAGAACCCCGAUUGCGAAGGCAGCCUGCCAAGCCAUUACUGACGCUGAUGCACGAAAGCGUGGGGAUCAAACAGGAUUAGAUACCCUGGUAGUCCACGCAGUAAACGAUGAUCACUAGCUGUUUGCGAUACACUGUAAGCGGCACAGCGAAAGCGUUAAGUGAUCCACCUGGGGAGUACGCCGGCAACGGUGAAACUCAAAGGAAUUGACGGGGGCCCGCACAAGCGGAGGAACAUGUGGUUUAAUUCGAUGAUACGCGAGGAACCUUACCCGGGUUUGAACGCAUUCGGACCGAGGUGGAAACACCUUUUCUAGCAAUAGCCGUUUGCGAGGUGCUGCAUGGUUGUCGUCAGCUCGUGCCGUGAGGUGUCGGCUUAAGUGCCAUAACGAGCGCAACCCUUGCCACUAGUUACUAACAGGUAAAGCUGAGGACUCUGGUGGGACUGCCAGCGUAAGCUGCGAGGAAGGCGGGGAUGACGUCAAAUCAGCACGGCCCUUACAUCCGGGGCGACACACGUGUUACAAUGGCGUGGACAAAGGGAGGCCACCUGGCGACAGGGAGCGAAUCCCCAAACCACGUCUCAGUUCGGAUCGGAGUCUGCAACCCGACUCCGUGAAGCUGGAUUCGCUAGUAAUCGCGCAUCAGCCAUGGCGCGGUGAAUACGUUCCCGGGCCUUGUACACAC